rnacentral:lncRNA from 10 species
UGGGCAGCCUUUCUUAAACAUUUUGUAUAAAUAUAUUUAUUCUCCCACUGAGACCUUGCCUGCCAGGUUCAGGAACAACUGAGUAAGCAGAUGAGUUAUAAACCAAGGAAAGAAAAGGAAGAAUUGCCAUGGAAAUGCUGAUGGCCCCUUUAUUCCAGUUGAGUACAUUGCCCCAGUACAAUAAAUUAGUGGUUGAUGUGUUGAUGAUAAAUCUAUAGUGGUUUUUAUAUUCAAAGUAAAAGAUAUUUCACUCUGUCUUUGCUGCAGAAAUAAUCAGAAAGCAAGGAAAUGUUGACAUCCGGUGGGCAAGACUGAAAAAAAACACACACACAAAAACCCUUUGGUGCACAACCCACAUUUGCAAGCUGUCUGCAUUUCUUGUAUUGGCCUCAGCUUUGACAAAUGUAAAAAAGUCACUAAUAUUUUGACACUCUCCCUGCCCAAGUCUGAUACCAGCUGGCUGCGAAGCCACAUAUUCAUUGUUCUGCUGGAUUUUAAAGACUGGGUCCCAGCCAAAGGACUGGACUGGAUCCAUUCAUUCAUUUUCAAGAUUGAAGUUGCAGCUUAACUGUAAUGACCAUUUCUCAACUCAAUCUGGAAACCUCUUCCAAAUCCAACAGAUGCCUGAGAAGCAAAUGUGCAUUUGGAUUGGAAACCACUCUCUCUGAGAAAGAAACAAAAGAUACAGUAUGACAACAAUUAUGGAAAAUUAUGCCCAGAAAAAAAAAUUGGCAGAAAACACACAAAAUGUCAAAAACAUUAACAGGAAAGAUCUUCAAGGUUAUGGAGGAGCUGCCCUUUCAUACUACAUCAACAUUAUUGACUGGCCUGUGAUUCCUUACUCGGAGUUAAGAUAAUUUGCAUAAUUGUGUAUUACUUCAGUCUGGUAGAAACAAACAAGAUGUUCGGGUGCUAAUGAUCAGGCAAGCAGCGGUGACUGCUGGGAAAAAUAGCAGUGGUCAAGUCCAAAAACAACGAAGAACAGCUUCUGCUUCUCUCCUUGGCAUCUUUCAUCACUUUCUUUGACCUAGCUUGGUUCCACUUGGCCACAGGCAUUGUUUCUAAUCUGUCUGUCCAAGCUUAGGAGGUGAUCUGGCUAGGCAUAUAUUCCAAAUCUGCAAAAAUGUAAAGCACUGUUAGGCUGUGAACUUUCAUACUUUGUAUUUGCUUAGGUCACUUCUUCUGCCUAAGCAUGAAUUUCUUCCUUCUUCUCUCUGACAGAAAUGGUCUUAUCCUUUGAGAUUCAGCAUUUAUGCUGAUCCUCCUUUGGAUAUCCCCCAACUUUUCCACCUACUAUGCAUCAUUCUUGAAAUGAAAACAAUAUCAAAUGAACAGAGUAGAUACAGGAGGCACAAAGUAGAUGCUAACCACAUACAUUCUCAUUCAAUUAAUAGUUUUUGAGCUUUACAGUUUGCUAGCUUUAUUCUUGUCACUCCGCAUAGAGGAGCUAACAAGUAGGACAAAAAAAAUCCCCCUUUCUUUUAAUUCUA